rnacentral:rRNA from 1 species
AUUGAACGCUGGCGGCAUGCCUUACACAUGCAAGUCGAACGGCAGCACGGGAGCAAUCCUGGUGGCGAGUGGCGAACGGGUGAGUAAUAUAUCGGAACGUGCCCAGUAAUGGGGGGUAGCCCGGCGAAAGCCGGAUUAAUACCGCAUACGACCUACGGGUGAAAGCAGGGGAUCGCAAGACCUUGCGUUAUUGGAGCGGCCGAUAUCAGAUUAGCUAGUUGGUGGGGUAAAGGCCUACCAAGGCGACGAUCUGUAGCUGGUCUGAGAGGACGACCAGCCACACUGGGACUGAGACACGGCCCAGACUCCUACGGGAGGCAGCAGUGGGGAAUUUUGGACAAUGGGCGCAAGCCUGAUCCAGCCAUGCCGCGUGCGGAAAGAAGGCCUUCGGGUUGUAAACCGCUUUUGUCAGGGAAGAAACGGCUCUUGCUAAUAUCGAGAGCUAAUGACGGUACCUGAAGAAUAAGCACCGGCUAACUACGUGCCAGCCGCCGCAGUAACAC